rnacentral:rRNA from 1 species
CCAGACUCCUACGGGAGGCAGCAGUGGGGAGUAUUGCACAAUGGGGGAAACCCUGAUGCAGCGACGCCGCGUGAGUGAAGAAGUAUUUCGGUAUGUAAAGCUCUAUCAGCAGGGAAGAAAAUGACGGUACCUGACUAAGAAGCCCCGGCUAACUACGUGCCAGCAGCCGCGGUAAUACGUAGGGGGCAAGCGUUAUCCGGAUUUACUGGGUGUAAAGGGAGCGUAGACGGCAUGGCAAGUCAGAUGUGAAAGCCCGGGGCUCAACCCCGGGACUGCAUUUGAAACUGUCAGGCUGGAGUGCAGGAGAGGUAAGUGGAAUUCCUAGUGUAGCGGUGAAAUGCGUAGAUAUUAGGAGGAACACCAGUGGCGAAGGCGGCCUGCUGGACGACAACUGACGGUGAGGCGCGAAAGCGUGGGGAGCAAACAGGAUUAGAUACCCGAGUAUG